rnacentral:lncRNA from 1 species
CCGCCCACCCCUUUUUAUUGUUAAGAAGAGGAAGAGUCUUUCUUCUUUAAGACUCUUAACCACUUCUUAAAUUCCACCGAUUCCUUAAUUGUCACAUGCCUAAAAUUAAUGAGGAAAUUAUGAGGUACAGAAGAGGAAGAGUUCUUCUAUGUGAGGCCUCUUCUACACCAUUUAAUGCAUCGAAGAAUUAAUUCUCCACAUGAAGAAGUGGAGCGCC